GAUGAACGCUGGCGGCGUGCCUAAUACAUGCAAGUCGAGCGAACGGACGAGAAGCUUGCUUCUCUGAUGUUAGCGGCGGACGGGUGAGUAACACGUGGAUAACCUACCUAUAAGACUGGGAUAACUUCGGGAAACCGGAGCUAAUACCGGAUAAUAUUUUGAACCGCAUGGUUCAAAAGUGAAAGACGGUCUUGCUGUCACUUAUAGAUGGAUCCGCGCUGCAUUAGCUAGUUGGUAAGGUAACGGCUUACCAAGGCAACGAUGCAUAGCCGACCUGAGAGGGUGAUCGGCCACACUGGAACUGAGACACGGUCCAGACUCCUACGGGAGGCAGCAGUAGGGAAUCUUCCGCAAUGGGCGAAAGCCUGACGGAGCAACGCCGCGUGAGUGAUGAAGGUCUUCGGAUCGUAAAACUCUGUUAUUAGGGAAGAACAUAUGUGUAAGUAACUGUGCACAUCUUGACGGUACCUAAUCAGAAAGCCACGGCUAACUACGUGCCAGCAGCCGCGGUAAUACGUAGGUGGCAAGCGUUAUCCGGAAUUAUUGGGCGUAAAGCGCGCGUAGGCGGUUUUUUAAGUCUGAUGUGAAAGCCCACGGCUCAACCGUGGAGGGUCAUUGGAAACUGGAAAACUUGAGUGCAGAAGAGGAAAGUGGAAUUCCAUGUGUAGCGGUGAAAUGCGCAGAGAUAUGGAGGAACACCAGUGGCGAAGGCGACUUUCUGGUCUGUAACUGACGCUGAUGUGCGAAAGCGUGGGGAUCAAACAGGAUUAGAUACCCUGGUAGUCCACGCCGUAAACGAUGAGUGCUAAGUGUUAGGGGGUUUCCGCCCCUUAGUGCUGCAGCUAACGCAUUAAGCACUCCGCCUGGGGAGUACGACCGCAAGGUUGAAACUCAAAGGAAUUGACGGGGACCCGCACAAGCGGUGGAGCAUGUGGUUUAAUUCGAAGCAACGCGAAGAACCUUACCAAAUCUUGACAUCCUUUGACAACUCUAGAGAUAGAGCUUUCCCCUUCGGGGGACAAAGUGACAGGUGGUGCAUGGUUGUCGUCAGCUCGUGUCGUGAGAUGUUGGGUUAAGUCCCGCAACGAGCGCAACCCUUAAGCUUAGUUGCCAUCAUUAAGUUGGGCACUCUAAGUUGACUGCCGGUGACAAACCGGAGGAAGGUGGGGAUAACGUCAAAUCAUCAUGCCCCUUAUGAUUUGGGCUACACACGUGCUACAAUGGACAAUACAAAGGGCAGCGAAACCGUGAGGUCAAGCAAAUCCCAUAAAGUUGUUCUCAGUUCGGAUUGUAGUCUGCAACUCGACUACAUGAAGCUGGAAUCGCUAGUAAUCGUAGAUCAGCAUGCUACGGUGAAUACGUUCCCGGGUCU
rnacentral:rRNA from 1 species